ACUGAGGAAACUGUAUUUCCUGUCAGAGAUGCUCAGUGAUCCUCAGAGCAGAGAGAGGUAUUGCUGUCUUCUGAGUUCUUCACUGUCCCAACUGAAACAUUCAAACCUCAUUGCAGAGCUCAUGUCUUUCCUCACCAUCAUGUGAGUGUGAGAUUGCUCUGGAUUCUGGUUAUGUGGCCUGCAGCACCUAUAAGAACAAGCUCGUACAG